rnacentral:rRNA from 1 species
GACGAACGCUGGCGGCGUGCUUAACACAUGCAAGUCGAACGAUGAAGCCUAGCUUGCUAGGUGGAUUAGUGGCGAACGGGUGAGUAAUACGUGAGUAACCUACCUUUAACUCUGGGAUAAGCCUGGGAAACUGGGUCUAAUACCGGAUACGACCAAUCUCCGCAUGGGGUGUUGGUGGAAAGCGUUAUGUAGUGGUUAUAGAUGGGCUCACGGCCUAUCAGCUUGUUGGUGAGGUAACGGCUCACCAAGGCGACGACGGGUAGCCGACCUGAGAGGGUGACCGGCCACACUGGGACUGAGACACGGCCCAGACUCCUACGGGAGGCAGCAGUGGGGAAUAUUGCACAAUGGGCGCAAGCCUGAUGCAGCGACGCCGCGUGAGGGAUGACGGCCUUCGGGUUGUAAACCUCUGUUAGCAGGGAAGAAGAGAGAUUGACGGUACCUGCAGAGAAAGCGCCGGCUAACUACGUG